rnacentral:lncRNA from 1 species
CUGAAACAUCUCAUAUUAGCAAUACGUUUUAGGCUCAGUCAAAAAUGGAAAAAAAGUGAUUACAACUUUCAAAGCUCAUUUUAUUCUUAAAAAUAGAGAAAACAAUCAAAACAUCUCGAAUAUAAAGGCUUUUUGUGUGUGAUGUUUUUAACACCUUAGAGGUUGGUGAAAAGAAAUGUGAAGACUGAUAGGAAGAAAGUUUGAGAGGGAACACACGAAUGGGAGCACCAGGAGGAAGGGAAGGAGGGAUAAAAGAAGGGCAGGUGCUGAUGGCCCUCAGUCAGCAGCUCAUCAAGGUCACGAGAGUCUCAGAGUUAGUGAACUGGCUUUCCUUGGAUGAAAAUACACUGGAAGUAAUGCUCCAGGAGCUGCCAAACAUUCUCCAGCUACGGAUGGGCGUCAAGUUCAUGGGAGAAGAUGAGAAGAUGAGAGCUAGUCCAAGGUCUGCUCCUAUUUUCCACAGAACUUCCUGUUGUUCUACAAUGUCAUGCUGCCACAGUCUCCACAGAUGUGGUCUACAUCCACAUGAUGUUGUCAUGAUGGAGAACUACUGUAUUGCUCGGUAAGACAUGAACUCACCGGAAACUAGUUCUAGGUCGGCAGCCUGAAACUUGAAAUCAUAGAGGAGGGCAGGUGGGUAUAGUGAGUGGCAGAG